ACGCGUGGAACCUUACCAGGUCUUGACAUCCUCUGACACUCCUAGAGAUAGGACGUUCCCCUUCGGGGGACAGAGUGACAGGUGGUGCAUGGUUGUCGUCAGCUCGUGUCGUGAGAUGUUGGGUUAAGUCCCGCAACGAGCGCAACCCUUGAUCUUAGUUGCCAGCAUUUAGUUGGGCACUCUAAGGUGACUGCCGGUGACAAACCGGAGGAAGGUGGGGAUGACGUCAAAUCAUCAUGCCCCUUAUGACCUGGGCUACACACGUGCUACAAUGGACGGUACAAACGGUUGCCAACCCGCGAGGGGGAGCUAAUCCGAUAAAACCGUUCUCAGUUCGGAUUGUAGGCUGCAACUCGCCUACAUGAAGCCGGAAUCGCUAGUAAUCGCGGAUCAGCAUGCCGCGGUGAAUACGUUCCCGGGCCUUGCACUCACCGCCCGU
rnacentral:rRNA from 1 species